AUUGAACGCUGGCGGCAGGCCUAACACAUGCAAGUCGAACGGUAACAGGAAGCAGCUUGCUGCUUUGCUGACGAGUGGCGGAUGGGUGAGUAAUGUCUGGGAAACUGCCUGAUGGAGGGGGAUAACUACUGGAAACGGUAGCUAAUACCGCAUAACGUCGCAAGACCAAAGAGGGGGACCUUAGGGCCUCUUGCCAUCGGAUGUGCCCAGAUGGGAUUAGCUAGUAGGUGGGGUAACGGCUCACCUAGGCGACGAUCCCUAGCUGGUCUGAGAGGAUGACCAGCCACACUGGAACUGAGACACGGUCCAGACUCCUACGGGAGGCAGCAGUGGGGAAUAUUGCACAAUGGGCGCAAGCCUGAUGCAGCCAUGCCGCGUGUAUGAAGAAGGCCUUCGGGUUGUAAAGUACUUUCAGCGGGGAGGAAGGGAGUAAAGUUAAUACCUUUGCUCAUUGACGUUACCCGCAGAAGAAGCACCGGCUAACUCCGUG
rnacentral:rRNA from 1 species